rnacentral:lncRNA from 10 species
UAAAAUAUUAAAUGGGCCAAGUUUAAUGUUAGCUACAGCAUAAAGGCUUUAAGACGGAUCGAACAUGUUGUGAGUUUUAAACUGUAACCUGAACAGGGUGCAGUUUUGUAGACAUAGAAAUAGAAGUGGCUGGGGCAAUUAAUUUGGUAAGGGAGGAUUUCAUUAGGCAAAAGUCAAAAGAAGGACUUGAAAUGUCUUUUGUCAUGAGGGCUGCCAAGUCUCUGAGUGAAGAUGGUUGACAAAACUGCCAUCAAUCCCCUUUCACUUUGGCACUGGCAAAGGGCAACAUAGAUAGGGUUUGGGAAUUACAUAGUUUGUUUUAGUUUCUUACAUACCCAAGAGUACUGAUAGCUGCUGCUUUGAACACAAAGUGAUCAGUGUUUUUCAGUGACCUGAGUAAAUGGGAAACUAUCUUUGUCAUUGUGUAAUUGGCCUGUAUACUUUAUCCAGAAAUUGAAAAUAUACUAGCAUCUAAUAAAAUUUAGACAUGUGUAUGUGAACUAUUUUUUUCACAAUACCAGAAAACACACAGUUGACUAUUAAAGUUUUUGUCUUGUUUUAUUGUUGAAUCAUUAGGGCCAGCAUACAGUAGGUGAUCAAUAAGUUUAUGUUGAAUAAAUAAGUGGGUGCAAAACCAUAUUUAAUACAUUUUACUUACUAUAAAUCAUUGAAAAAGGGAAAUAUCUGGAUC